rnacentral:misc_RNA from 1 species
UGAUGAUGGUUUUAUCGCUCAUGGGGAAGCACUCAUAGUAGACCCAGGAUGUAAGUCAUCUUCAUAUGAACAGCUCAAGGAAAUCAUUGCUGCUUUGCCGAGAAAACUAGUCGUCUUUGUGACACAUCAUCAUAAUGAUCAUGUUGAUGGUCUUUCAGUAGUCCAGAAGUACAGUCCCGAUGCUCGUCUUUUGGCUCAUGAAAAUACGAUUCGUCGAAUUAGAAAAGAUGAUUGGUCUCUCCCAUAUGUUUCAGUUUCUGGAUCUGAGGAAAUUUGCAUUGGCAAUCAGAAAUUAAGAAUUAUCUUAGCACCGGGACAUACAGAUGGACAUAUGGCACUGCUUCAUGUUAGUACAAACUCGUUGAUCGUAGGGGAUCAUUGUGUGGGCCAAG